UACGGAGGGUGCAAGCGUUAUCCGGAUUCACUGGGUUUAAAGGGUGCGUAGGAGGGCAGGUAAGUCAGUGGUGAAAUCUCCGAGCUUAACUUGGAAACUGCCGUUGAUACUAUCUGUCUUGAAUAUUGUGGAGGUGAGCGGAAUAUGUCAUGUAGCGGUGAAAUGCUUAGAUAUGACAUAGAACACCAAUUGCGAAGGCAGCUCGCUACACAAAUAUUGACACUGAUGCACGAAAGCGUGGGGAUCAAACAGG
rnacentral:rRNA from 1 species